rnacentral:rRNA from 1 species
GACGAACGCUGGCGGCGUGCUUAACACAUGCAAGUCGAACGAAGAGCGAUGGAAGCUUGCUUCUAUCAAUCUUAGUGGCGAACGGGUGAGUAACGCGUAAUCAACCUGCCCUUCAGAGGGGGACAACAGUUGGAAACGACUGCUAAUACCGCAUACGAUCUAAACUCGGCAUCGAGGAUAGAUGAAAGGUGGCCUCUACAUGUAAGCUAUCACUGAAGGAGGGGAUUGCGUCUGAUUAGCUAGUUGGAGGGGUAACGGCCCACCAAGGCGAUGAUCAGUAGCCGGUCUGAGAGGAUGGACGGCCACAUUGGGACUGAGACACGGCCCAGACUCCUACGGGGGGCAGCAGUGGGGAAACGUCCGCCAUGGGCGGAAGUCUGACGGAGCAACGCCGCGGGAGUGAUGACGGCCGUCGGGUUGUAAAGCUCUGUUAAUCGGGACGAAAGGCCUUCUUGCGAAUAGUGAGAAGGAUUGACGGUACCGGAAUAGAAAGCCACGGCUAACUACGUG